UCCGGUUUGACACCGGCAGUCUCGCUAGAGUCCCCACCAUUACGUGUUGGCAACUAGCGACAGGGGUUGCGCUCGUUAAGGGACUUAACCCGACACUUCACAGCACGAGCUGACGACAGCCAUGCAGCACCUGUUCACGUUCCGGGCUUGCGCCUGUGGCUCCACUUUCAUGGAGUUGAUCCGUGUAUGUCAAACCCAGGUAAGGUUCUUCGCGUUGCUUCGAAUUAAGCAACAUGCUCCACCGCUUGUGUGAGCCCCCGUCAAUUCCUUUGAGUUUUAGCCUUGCGACCGUACUUCCCAGGCGGCGCACUUAACAAUUUCUCUCCGACCAGUACCGGGUCAAACCGGCGCCGAUCUAGUGCGCAUCGUUUACAGCGUGGACUAC
rnacentral:misc_RNA from 1 species